GCCGAGAUGGCGGAAUUGGUAGACGCACUAGGUUCAGGUCCUAGCGCCCGCAAGGGUGUGGAGGUUCGAGUCCUCUUCUCGGCACCA
rnacentral:tRNA from 3 species